rnacentral:rRNA from 1 species
AGGGAAUCUUCCGCAAUGGGCGAAAGCCUGACGGAGCAACGCCGCGUGAGUGAAGAAGGUCUUCGGAUCGUAAAACUCUGUUAUUAGGGAAGAACAAAUGUGUAAGUAACUAUGCACGUCUUGACGGUACCUAAUCAGAAAGCCACGGCUAACUACGUGCCAGCAGCCGCGGUAAUACGUAGGUGGCAAGCGUUAUCCGGAAUUAUUGGGCGUAAAGCGCGCGUAGGCGGUUUUUUAAGUCUGAUGUGAAAGCCCACGGCUCAACCGUGGAGGGUCAUUGGAAACUGGAAAACUUGAGUGCAGAAGAGGAAAGUGGAAUUCCAUGUGUAGCGGUGAAAUGCGCAGAGAUAUGGAGGAACACCAGUGGCGAAGGCGACUUUCUGGUCUGCAACUGACGCUGAUGCGCGAAAGCGUGGGGAUCAAACAGGAUUAGAUACCCUGGUAGUCCACGCCGUAAACGAUGAGUGCUAAGUGUUAGGGGGGUUCCGCCCCUUAGUGCUGCAGCUAACGCAUUAAGCACUCCGCCUGGGGAGUACGACCGCAAGGUUG